AUUGCAGGAUUGCACAUAUUAGCGUUCUGCUCUUAGAUAUGCUUUUCUUGCUGAAAAUGUUUCCUGCUAUAUUAGUAAUUCUGAGAAAAUUGGCAGUUGGAUUCUGCUAAAGGCUUUCAUUGAGAACAUUAACAACCAUUUUUUCUGUAUUU